rnacentral:rRNA from 11 species
UUCUUGGCCUAAAUAACCUAAAGUUACCAAAUCCCUUCUGAUCUUGGAAGCUAAACUAGGUUAGUCCUAGUUAGUUAGCACUUGGAUGGGAGACUGUCAACCAGUAUCAGGUGAUAUAGAUU